rfam:Parcubacteria (Nomurabacteria) bacterium GW2011_GWA1_46_11 TX31_C0012, whole genome shotgun sequence.
GGGGACGAUGGGUGUCGACAGAGAACGAACAUUAAAAAAUGCAAGCCGAGUUUGAUCCUAACUCGUGAUAAGGAUUAAAAGAUAAGCGACAACCCAAAUGUUGCUCGCGCUUAUGCUUACGCUUAAACCGUAAGUGAUGAGCCGUUUCUAAAUUUUUCUCUCGGUGAGAGUUUAGGAGCGUUAUUCAGCCGAGAUGCGGUUUUUCAAGGUUGGUUCUCUUGAAAGACUUAAGCUGAUGAACCUUGUUUUGAAAGGACCUGUCGGCCGGUUAUCUUUCUUGACGAGAACAAUAGACUGACUAAGCUUGUAGAGGUUUUUAAUUUUGUUUUUUGGAUCCCGGUUCAACUCCGGGCGUCUCCACUC